UACGUAGGGUGCAAGCGUUGUCCGGAAUUAUUGGGCGUAAAGCGCUCGUAGGCGGUUUGUCGCGUCUGCUGUGAAAUCCCGAGGCUCAACCUUGGGCCUGCAGUGGGUACGGGCAGACUAGAGUGCGGUAGGGGAGAUUGGAAUUCCUGGUGUAGCGGUGGAAUGCGCAGAUAUCAGGAGGAACACCGAUGGCGAAGGCAGAUCUCUGGGCCGUAACUGACGCUGAGGAGCGAAAGCGUGGGGAGCGAACAGG
rnacentral:rRNA from 1 species